GUUUUGCAGGGAGCCGGGCCGGGGGAGGCGGCGGCCGCGGCGGCGGCUGCGCGCCCGCGAAGGGGCCAAGCGGGGAGCCGGGGCGCUGGGGCCGGGCGGAGGCACGGUGAAGGCAGAGGCGUCCGUCCCCUUCAUCCUGGCGCGGCGCGGGGGAGGGAGGCCCGGCUGGCUUCGGAUCGGGUUGCAGCGCGGCCGGUGGGAGCCGGGUGACACCCCCCUGCUCCGUCAGCCGCGGAGGGGGAUGGGGCCGGGAGAGAAGCGCUGGGCUGGAGUGUGCGGUCGCCAUGCUAAGGGGGGGGGACGGGCUCCUUUGUGUGCCCGAGGGGAGAGCUCCUGGGGUGCAUGAAUCCCGCCCCGCAGCGCCUCUCAUGGCACAAGGGGACGCCUCGUGCAAAGCGCUGCCCCGUCCCCCGACCACCUUUGCACCCCGAAGUGGCCCCAGCCCUGGUUGCGCCCCUGUUGGCGCUGGCUUGCCACGAGGAUCGGAGCGGCUGUAAGCGGAAAGGGCCACCGGCUUUAAAGCAAACGCUGGGGAAGGAGCAGCAAACGCGCCAUUCGCAAUCGGGAGCGUUCACGCCACGACCCCGCUUCUCGAGUUCCAGCCGCGGGCCAAGAACGGAGCCCGGAGCCCGAGCGCAGCAGCCUGGACGAGCAGUGUCUCGUACUGCACCGGCUCUCCCAAAGAAAUCCUGCAGCAAAUCACUGUGAAUGCAUAAAAUCCAAGAAACUCACCGGCCACUUGGUGACCAUUUGCAAAUAGAGCAGGCGGCAGAAUUCAUGGAAUACCCGCUAUUUCUAGCUACUGUUCCCUUGGGGUUUCUGCCACCUGGAAGCUCUGAAGAGCCAGACCAUCGCUCCCUGUUUUCAAGAGGGAAUGAUGCAGUGGAGAACAGCAGUUCAGGAGACACAAUUUUAUCUCCAUGCACUCUUUAAGGCAUGAAAGGGAGGACUGGUCCCAAAGUAAGCCAUAGCUCCCUGGGAACUGAGCUGGGCCAGUCUCUAAGUAGCACUUCUCUUGAGGUACAAAAAAUGGCUCUUACCCUAUUGUUUGAACAAGGGAAAAUAUUAUGCAAAAGAUUAAAAUAAACAUUUUGGGGAAACGGGAAAAUUGAGCAGUUACUGCCAUGCUCCCUGUUGCUGCAGUAUGCUUUCAGGUCUGCCCUGUGCUUUUGGCUCUCCAGCCAGGCCUUGAGAAUGCUCUCAGGACUUGCAAAUUCAAGGAAGUUUCCAAAAUCUAAGCACUUUCAGCUGCAUACGCAGGAGAGGGACAGAAAGGUGGGUCCUGUCCCAGCAGGCUGCAAAGAUGGAGACAUAUUAUUUUCUGAUUUAGAAAAAACAGAAUUGAUCUCAGGUUUGUUUUUCCUUUGACAGUGUAAACACCAUGUGACAGUGGGGUUGAGCUGACCGGAAAUCAUGUCAGUUUCCAAUUGCAGGCUGGCUUGUGCCAGCUGUGCUCUUCUCUGUCCAGACUUGUACCAUGGCAUUACAAGAGUGGUCACUUCGAUAAGCACAGAGAAUGUCCUCAUUGGCCCCAGAAGCAGUUCUGGUGUAAAAUCACCAUUCAGCAUCUGAGGGAGGAAAUGGUUUAACAAACCAAUGGGCUGACAGUUUCUGCUGCUCGCUCACAGGAAGUGAAAUGAGGUAAAGCAAAAGUGCGUUGUUCUCCAGCAAGACAAUGAUCCUACUGGGACCCGUGGAACAAGGUACUGUAAAGCUGUGAAUCUGGAGGGGGUUGGCAUGCAAUGAGCCUCCAGGCAACUUUCAAGAAUAACAAUAAAAUGAAUCUGUGUUCACAUGCUGUCAGUCUGCUGUAGAUUGCUUUCCGAUUGUGCAAUGCUCCCUUAGAAUGUCAGUUCUCAUCCUGACUAUACUUAUGUCCAUUCUGCACUGUCAUAACCUCCACCAACUUCCACAGGGUCGCUUGGAGCACACUGAACUAAGAAUAGACAGUGAAUAGACUGUGCUCUACCAUUCCCAGGAUUGAACCUGUAAGUACUUAAGGGCAACAUGUCACUUAGGGUUUGUCUACACAGCAGGGGAAUGUAUUCUGUGGGGGAGCGAUUUCUAAAUCGCACUCAUGUGCAUUAGUGCAUUGUGCAUUAGUUGGUCCAUGAAGACACAGUAGUACAUUAAAGCACACUAAGUAACCUUUAGUACGCACCAGCAGGAUCUACGCAGACCAAUUAAUAUGCAACACGAGUGCGCUUUAGAAAUCACACCCCUGUAGAGCACAUUACCUUAAGGUGUAAACAAGUGCUAAAUUAUGGAAAAUUUGGAAACAGUAUUUCAAUAGACACAAAUAGUGCCAAACCUUCUUCUGAUUUAAUCUCAGAUUAAGAUGGCCACAGCAUUUAUGGGGUGAAACUGCAGCCUGUGGAAACUCUUAAUGAGGUUGUCACUUGAGGAACUUGGACUGUGUCCCACCUAGGGAUAAGGGAUUGGCCAUCCUAUGGGGUACUGAAAAUUAAUCCCCUUCAGUUUUCAGAGUAACCAGUAUGAAUUCUCCAAUACACAGGGUAAAAUUCUGUUCUCUGCAUAUUGGAGCUAUAUGCUGAUAUUCUGACAAAUUCUGACACGGCUGCUACUCUGAAACAGCUGAUAUUCUGGUCUCUCUGCAAAGGUGGAUCUCUCAGUGAUAUCAAUGGGUCUCCCACAUAUACGCUGUGUGGAGAGAAUAUUGGUCUGAAGUCCUCUCUAAGGGCUUGGCUACAAGGGGACAUCCAGGAAAAUAAAUCUGAAUUAACAAAAGGUGUGAAUUUGAAGUGGAUUAGUUAAACUGCAUUAAACCCUGUGUGAACACCCUCCUUCAGAAUUAAUGUGGCCUUGCUUCAAGAAGGCUGCUUAAUUCUGAAGGAGGGUGUUCACACAGGAGUUUGAUGUGGUUUAACUAAUCCAUUUCAAAUCCACACCUUCGGUUAAUUUGGAUUUAUUUUCCUGGAUGACCCUGUGUAGAGAAAUCCUUAAGACUUUGUUUACACCACAAAAUGAAGGUGUUUGGGUUUUUUUAUAGCACAGGUAGGUUUACCAUUGCUAUCUUUAAUCUAGCUAGCCACAAGUCCCAGUAGUAGUGAAGACAGGUGGUAUAGGCUAUCAACCUCGGUACAAGCCUGCCAGAGACUCUGGGUACAUAUUCUGGUUGCUAGUCUGUGGUGUAGCCUAUGCAGCCAUGUCUUUGCUAGUAUUGUUACCCACACUAGCUAGAUUAAAACCAGGCAUACACUGUAAAACCAUCAGCUGGAGAACUUUGUGGCAUGGGUAUAUUACCUUGAAACAAAAGCUACCUCAAUAAUAAUCUUAUUAAACUAACUACAGGCUCAAUAGAUUGGUCUAAACACUAAAUAUCUCAGCUGUUUCAACUCCUUUUAAUAAUAUCAAAAGAACUUGGCUCAUUUUAAAGCUACAGUCAAGCAGAUGAAAUCUACAUUUUGUGAUUAGUGGGUUUUUUUUUUACAUAAGAUGAAAGGAUCUAAUUAAUAGAAAGUAUUUAAUGGUUAUUUUUAAAGGAAAAAUGAUUUUUGACUGACAAUUCCCAGCAGUGUCUGCAGCCCAAACAUUGCAACACUUGAACUAGUGCAUGAAAACCUCAAAGUGACUAGAAACAGACGUGGAAGUGAAGGUGUCUAUUUUCAUUACUUGCAUUUUUUCAGGGUGGAUAAAUGGCAUAAAUGAAGAAUGAAUUUGAAUUUUGAAAUUCUGUCUUCAUCGUUUAGGUUGUUAUUAAUGACAGAGGCAAGGACACUUGUUAUGUAAGCUUUGUUUUCUGAACAAUGUCAAUGCUUGUGUGCAUGUCUGACAUGUAUGCACAUUUUAAUGCAACUGUGUAUGCAAACUAGAAAAUUACAUAUGUAACUAGAUGAUUGAAUGUGCAGUUGCAAUAGCAUAUAUGUAAAACCAUGAUCCGGGCAACAAUUUACAUUCUAUUCUGGAAUAAAAUAUAAGCUUGUGUACUAUCAGGGCUUAAAUUAAACUCAACUUCUUUAAACCCCAGGCCCAUUUUUUUUAGCCUACUGUUUUUUCUUUUAAAUUUAAACCCGAUGUGAGCCUUCCAGGAAAGCAUCCAACAUCGAAGGCAAAGCCCAGAUUACACUUUUAGUCAAUGUAACCUCAAUAAUAGACUAGUCAAGGUAUUAUAUUGGUAGCAUUGAAACCUUUUUAAAUUGGGGAUAUGAAAAAAUUUCUACACUAUAUUGCCUAUUUUUUAAAAAUUGUUUUAAAAUCUUGAACGUUACCAUAAUAAUCCAGCUUUAGAAAGCUUCCUUAUUCCUUUUAAACCCCUUUGAGAGUCCCCUAAAGAUAUCCAAAGAGAUUUUCUCCUUCCCCCUGUCCAGUAAUAGGGAGCAGCUGGGUCUAUUUAAAAUUGAUUUUGAUCUCUCCAAGCAGGAUUUGAUUUCUCCGCACACUGAGCUUUUGCCUGAAGAGAGUGUACAGUAGAGCAGAAAUUCUGAGAUGUCAGCUGGCAUGGCAAGAGUCGAAGAGAAAAUGAGCAGCUCACUCUGUGCCCACAGGCAUAAGCAUGAGACGGCGACAUGGGCAAAGUGAUUGUCAGUGUGACAGUGGUUGGAGUUUGCUGGCCGUAUACAAUUAAAACAGAAUAAAUCCAUCUUCUUGCUGAGCUCCAGAUCACAGAUGGUCCCAAUGGGGUGCAGCAGCAUAAGAAACACUCAUGCAAAGUGUUCAGCAUCUUGUAGAAUCAGACCCAAACUUAACACCAGUAUUCUUAAAUACCUGAAAAGUUGAAUAUUGAGCAAGAAGUUUCAGGAAAAGUUGACCUUCAGAGAAGACUACAUUCUCCAAAUUGUUAUAGAAGAUGUGUGGGUGCAUGGAGGGAAUCCAAGUAAUAUUUGGAAAUAUUAAAAUACAGUGUAUAUUGUUUGGUAUUGCUUUAGAUUUCUGAGUUUUUUCAGGACAGGGAAUGUGAGGGAAGUCAGAAAUGAAAGAAGGUGGGGAGUAGGAACGAGAUACCAUUAAGAGUUCUAGCCAACCACUAAUUUGCUAUUCAGUUUACCAACCUGUAGUUUAUUAUGUAUGGUAUGUGAAGGAACCUGUUUAGCCAAAAGGGAAAUGCCUUUUGUGUUAAGAGUGACCCUAAUCUAAUAUGGCCUUUUGAGUUGACUCAAUUAAAUCCUUUCUGUUUCAAUUAAAUAAUCAGCCACAAUUUAAUAAAAUGAAUAGCCGUGUGUUGUCUCCGUGUCUGAUGACUUUAGAGAUCAAGAAGCCUUAUGUAAAUUCUGUGAAUUACUUUUUAUCGGCUUGUGUGUCGCUUCCACCAAAAAAUGGCGCCUGUCAGUGUAUUAAAAUUCUUUCCCCAUCUUCUUAUUGCAACACUGUUUACAAUAAUGAUUCCCAGCUGAUGGGGCUUGAAAUAUCUCUAGUUUCUUUUACAUCUGCCAACAAAAUUGACCCUUUCUGAUUGGAAAAAGGGACCAUCCAGUAUAGAUAAAUUUCCGGUGGGGUCUUCUGUGUCCCCUUUUUCAUUGUGAACUUGAAUUCUGUGCUGUGAAUAGCAAUGUCUUGGCCUAUUCCAAAUUUUCCAAAUUUUAGUUGAGCCAUCCACUGAGCAAUUUGAUAGCAAAGCAAAUCUAAUCCCUCCCCCAAAUCU